UUACCGCUAUGCAUUCCUAACCUGAAACACGUUACAUUUGAUAAUUUCAACGUGUGUUUCUGUGUAGUGUACCACGGAAUAUUUUUUUUAUUUAUCCAAGAUCUCUAACUGGAGCUUUAUUUACAGAAAUGAUGGUAGGGCUGGCAGCGAUGUGAGUGAGGAGGACGCCACCGGCGGAGUCACUGGCAGUAGUGCUGACGGAGUGACAAGAGAAGGAAGUAGUGCCAGUGGAAGAGGAGAUGGAGCAGGAAAAAAAACAUUAGUACCGCCGCCACCGCCAGCAGGAGGAAGGGGGAGAGGCGGCCCCAGGAAGUACAACAUCCCAGCAGUGAGCUGAAGAAGCUUGACCAACUGUUUGUUUCCGAGGACGACAAGGUGACGUAUGAUCGCCGCCAGACGCCUUCUUACCCAGCAGGUAACGAUCGCCACCACCACCACCACCACCACCACCACCACCACUUCCACUUCCACCACCACCACCACCAUCACCAUCAAGAGGUGAAGUCCAAUCCCUUUUGGUGUUCUACGUGCCGAGCGAAUCCGGGUAGAAGGUGACUCUGGGCAUCUCGACGCUGCUCUCCAUGACUGUCUUCCUCAUGACCAUCAGAGUCCCUGCCGCCCACUGAGAAGACACCGCUCGUCAGUAAGUGUGCCGUCACCUGUGUUCACGGAGGUCAAGGUAAGAAGCCACUGACCCACCACUCCUGCCCGCCACUCCGUCUGCUCGCCUUCACUUGGGUUCGGUGGAGGUGUUUCAUCGUCUUCGUUAAGACCUUGAUUCGAGCGGAAAAGCUUUGGUCUUCCGCGAGUCCAUAGUAACUGCGACCCGUCUGAAUUGACUAGCAGUACUUGGUUUAAUUUCGAGCAAUACGGCAAGGUCUGAGGUCUGUAAGGAUACCUACUGGGCAGCUCAGUAGCCUAUUCACGGCCAGGCAGGCAGACAGAACAACACUUCUUUAAGUCAGGCCGCAGCAGUCAUUGCCUCCUCCGGUCAGGGUCCAGAAAAGUUUGUAACGAGGGAUCACUGGAGGCUGAUAGGCGUUAGCAGAGUUGUCAUCUGUGGUGUGUAGAGACUGGCGGAGUUCCGGUACAAACCAAUGGGAAAAUAAGCACGCUAGGUAUCAGAGUCAACAGAGACUGAGGUGAAGUGAAGAGGGAAGGUGUGCACUUUGUGGUUGCCGGCAGAGAGAGAGAGAGAGAGAGAGAGAGAGAGAGAGAAUGGUGGGGAAGGAGAGAAUUGCCAAUAUGACGUGUGGGGAAGUCAGAGAGUGUUGGAUGAAAAAAUAAACUACAAACUACUGCGAUGAUGGUGAUUUGCUCCGAACGAGACUAAGACGACUUUACAUAAGGAAAAUUGCGGCCUAUUAACUGCUAACAAACUUUUCCUGGGAUGUGGCGGGCGGGAUAGCCAUUAUUACCACAUCUGAGUGUGUCUGUGUGUGUGUGUGUGUGUUUGGGUGCGUUUGGGUUGCCAUCUCGUGUCGUUGGUGCUUCGGAUAAUGAAUCCCGUGUUUCACUUUGGCUUUGACUGCUUGAGGAGGCGGCGCUGCUUGAGGAGGCGGCGCAGUGUUCCUAAGUAUCGUGUUAACUCCCACUACCGACAGACAGACAGUGUUGCAUGUCUCACCGAACGUCACACAAAGAGCCACGUGCAUGCUGCUCAUUACCCUCAACUCUUAUGACCAUGAUUCAGUUAAAACAGUGAAGGUAUAACAUGAAUCUUUAAUUAAAUUACUUGCUGUAAACAAGCAAUCCUCCCUUGCAAGUGGUCCCCUGUAAAAACACUUAAUGAGACGCGCGGCUCUUUGAUGUGCUCGUAAAAAAAAACCAUUGCAGUUUCAUAUACAAACGAACACGGCGUGUGGCGUGGACCUCCUGCAGGCACAGGCACGGCUAUAAACUAGUAUAUAAGCGAAACGUGUCGCGCCAGACCCGCUAACACAUACACGGAUCACACAACACAGCCAGCCAGCCACGCGGCAGUGUUGAACAGGCCCAAGGCAAGGCUGUUCGCUUCAUCAUUCUCUCUCUCUCUCUCUCUCUCUCUCUCUCUCUCUCUCUCUCUCUCUCUCUCUCUGUUAAAGGUUAGAAUAAUGUAAAAUGUAAUGCAAACCUUUCAUUUAACGACGGGAACAUUUCAUUGUGUGGCGACAGUUGCUCGAUGUAAGUAAUGAACCACAAAUUAGGCAAAGUGUUAACAUAUUGGUGGAGACUGCUUGAGUUAGAUAUGAGGUAAUGGAAACACGUUCGCUCGGGAGAAGCAGUUAAUGCAAACCCACCACAUGAAUCUGAAAGCAAGGGGCUGCUGCUGAUGAGAAGCAUUGCUUUUCAUAAACACGUAGUAUCAUGGGAAGGAUUUGCAGCAUUUUUCAGGAAGCGUGUGCUCGGUGUACUGACAGGUCGUGCUGGUGAAUUAGUGAAUGCCACUCUUGAAUAACUUGUGCAACAUGACGACAUGAAAACGUAGAAAUCUCUCUCUCUCUCUCUCUCUCUCUCUCUCUCUCUCUCUCUCUCUCUCUCUCUCUCUCUCUCUCUCUCACUGCCGUGGCGUCUUAGGUGUUCUAUUUUUCCGUGGCGGGAAGAAGGAUGUGAACACGCUCAUUACUGAGAAACGUUUUUCAUCCUGGCAUGUCAAAUUGUUGUUAUGAAACACACACACACACACACACACACACACACACACACACACACACACACACACACACACACACACACACACACACACACACACACACACACACACACA